UACGGAAGGCAGCAGUGGGGAAUAUUGCACAAUGGGCGCAAGCCUGAUGCAGCCAUGCCGCGUGUACGAAAAAGGCCUUCGGGUUGUAAAGUACUUUCAGUCGUGAGGAAGGUGUUAAGGUUAAUAACCUUAGCAAUUGACGUUAGCGACAGAAGAAGCACCGGCUAACUCCGUGCCAGCAGCCGCGGUAAUACGGAGGGUGCGAGCGUUAAUCGGAAUUACUGGGCGUAAAGGGCACGCAGGCGGUUAAUUAAGUUGGAUGUGAAAUCCCCGGGCUUAACCUGGGAAUGGCAUUCAAGACUGGUUAGCUAGAGUCUUGUAGAGGGGGUAGAAUUCCAUGUGUAGCGGUGAAAUGCGUAGAGAUGUGGAGGAAUACCGGUGGCGAAGGCGGCCCCUGGACAAAGACUGACGCUCAUGUGCGAAAGCGUGGGGAGCAAACAGAUUAGAUACC
rnacentral:rRNA from 1 species